rnacentral:rRNA from 1 species
GAGCGAAAGGGAAUCCGGUUACAAUUCCGGAACCUGUUGAGUAUACGUUUGCAUUAUGUGACCGCCUACAUUUAUGUAGGUUAUCCAUUAUGUAUCUCGGCAACGAGAAGCCAAUAUAAAGAAGCUAUCGGGAUGUAACAAAAGAGUUUUCUUUUCUGUUUUACAGUUGUACGCACCAUGGAAGUCUUUCAUAGAGAGAUAUGGUGUAAUAGGCUGGUAGAGCAUGGCAUUCAGUUGCUGUGUUGUUACAAUCUCCUUAGACCUUGAAAAUUUAUAUUGGGGUCACGCAAACUCUCAACAGACCGUACCGAAUCCGCAGCAGGUCUCCA